rnacentral:lncRNA from 1 species
UUAAGGUAUCUUUUAACAUUAUAUCACUAAAACUUCUAUUGCAUGUUACCUUUUCAUUUAGACGUCUCAGUUCUUAACUCUGAAUAUUUGCCAGUAAUAUGUUCAUGAUUUAGGGUGCUUGUCAGCUUGGAAGGGGAGGUAUUGGAUAAACUGAAAACAUGAAGGGAUGCUGUUAGUUAUUUUCUUAGUCCAAAGUCCAUCAUGGAACAUUUAUUUAACAAGAGCACUGUUGCUGUUCUAUGAAGCAGCAGAAUCUGCUUUGGAUAUAGUUUACCAUUCCUUGUCCUUCCUUGUUUGAUGUCUUUGUUUCCCAUCACUCUAAAAGAGUAAACGGUGUGGAAAAUUUUCAUAUCCACAUAAACCUGGCCCACUGUCUUAAUUCAAAUUCAUUCUAAAUUGUUUUUUCUUGUUCUAUCUAUUUUCUUAUGAAUUUUCGUAACAUUACGUUAGAAAGAGAGCAAAAGCAUCCGAGUAUGUACUUGCUGAGAUUUUUGACAUUUUCAACAAUGUCUCUUCUUCUCUUUGGGGUUAUCCUUGUGAGUUGUGACUCAUGCAUUCAAUAUUUGAUUUCAAGAAUAUGAAAGAUGAUCAUUUCUCUAAACUUACAAUGGUCCAUCAAUGUCCAAUAUGUAGACAUUUACUCUUAAUUAUGUUUUGAAGCAACUCUCUUUUGCAGGUCUGAUCCCUCUUCGGGAGUAUUUCUCCUUUUUCCCCCACAGUUUCUAACCCUUCCUCCAUGGCCUUUGUCUAACCCUUCACCUGAAGGAUCUCGUUCCUC